UACGUAGGGUCCGAGCGUUGCCUCGGAAUUACUGGGCGUAAAGAGCUCGUAGGUGGUUUGUCGCGUUGUUCGUGAAAACUCACAGCUUAACUGUGGGCGUGCGGGCGAUACGGGCAGACUUGAGUACUGCAGGGGAGACUGGAAUUCCUGGUGUAGCGGUGGAAUGCGCAGAUAUCAGGAGGAACACCGGUGGCGAAGGCGGGUCUCUGGGCAGUAACUGACGCUGGAGGAGCGAAAGCCGUGGGGAGCGAACAGG
rnacentral:rRNA from 1 species